rnacentral:rRNA from 1 species
GAGCAAUUCGAGGGGCUCGCGGCCUAUCAGCUAGUUGGUGAGGUAACGGCUCACCAAGGCGACGACGGGUAGCUGGUCUGAGAGGAUGGCCAGCCACAUUGGGACUGAGAUACGGCCCAG